CCCCAGACUCCUACGGGAGGCAGCAGUGGGGGAUAUUGCACAAUGGGGGGAACCCUGAUGCAGCGACGCCGCGUGGGUGAAGAAGCGCCUCGGCGCGUAAAGCCCUGUCAGCAGGGAAGAAAAUGACGGUACCUGAAGAAGAAGCCCCGGCUAACUACGUGCCAGCAGCCGCGGUAAUACGUAGGUGGCAAGCGUUAUCCGGAUUCACUGGGCGUAAAGGGAGCGUAGACGGCCAUGCAAGCCUGGAGUGAAAGCCCGGGGCCCAACCCCGGGACUGCUCUGGGAACUGUGCGGCUGGAGUGCGGGAGGGGCAGGCGGAAUUCCUGGUGUAGCGGUGAAAUGCGUAGAUAUCAGGAGGAACACCGGCGGCGAAGGCGGCCUGCUGGACCGCGACUGACGUUGAGGCUCGAAAGCGUGGGGAGCAAACAGGAUUAGAUACCCGGGUA
rnacentral:rRNA from 1 species